rnacentral:rRNA from 1 species
CGUAGGGUGCGAGCGUUAAUCGGAAUUACUGGGCGUAAAGCGUGCGCAGGCGGUUAUGUAAGACAGAUGUGAAAUCCCCGGGCUCAACCUGGGAACUGCAUUUGUGACUGCAUAGCUAGAGUACGGUAGAGGGGGAUGGAAUUCCGCGUGUAGCAGUGAAAUGCGUAGAUAUGCGGAGGAACACCGAUGGCGAAGGCAAUCCCCUGGACCUGUACUGACGCUCAUGCACGAAAGCGUGGGGAGCAAACAGGAUUAGAUACCCUGGUAGUCCACGCCCUAAACGAUGUCAACUGGUUGUUGGGUCUUCACUGACUCAGUAACGAAGCUAACGCGUGAAGUUGACCGCCUGGGGAGUACGGCCGCAAGGUUG